GUGGGGAAUAUUGGGCAAUGGGCGCAAGCCUGACCCAGCCACGCCGCGUGAGUGAUGAAGGCCUUCGGGUCGUAAAGCUCUGUGGGGAGGGACGAAAAAACGCUGGCCAAUAUCCAGCGGACUGACGGUACCUCCUUAGCAAGCACCGGCUAACUCCGUGCCAGCAGCCGCGGUAAUACGGAGGGUGCAAACGUUGCUCGGAAUUAUUGGGCGUAAAGCGCGCGUAGGCGGUCCAGCAAGUCGGGUGUGAAAGCCCUCGGCUUAACCGAGGAAGUGCAUUCGAAACUACUGGACUUGAAUACUGAAGAGGAUCGCGGAAUUCCCGGUGUAGAGGUGAAAUUCGUAGAUAUCGGGAGGAACACCAGUGGCGAAGGCGGCGAUCUGGGCAGAUAUUGACGCUGAGGUGCGAAAGCGUGGGGAGCAAACAGGAUUAGAAACCCGAGUAGUCC
rnacentral:rRNA from 1 species